AGUGAACGCUGGCGGUAGGCCUAACACAUGCAAGUCGAACGGCAGCACCGAGGAGCUUGCUCCUUGGGUGGCGAGUGGCGGACGGGUGAGGAAUACAUCGGAAUCUACUCUGUCGUGGGGGAUAACGUAGGGAAACUUACGCUAAUACCGCAUACGACCUACGGGUGAAAGCAGGGGACCUUCGGGCCUUGCGCGAUUGAAUGAGCCGAUGUCGGAUUAGCUAGUUGGCGGGGUAAAGGCACACCAAGGCGACGAUCCGUAGCUGGUCUGGAGGGAUGAUCAGCCACACUGGAACUGAGACACGGUCCAGAGUCCUACGGGGGGCAGCAGUGGGGAAUAUUGGACAAUGGGCGCAAGCCUGAUCCAGCCAUACCGCGUGGGUGAAGAAGGCCUUCGGGUUGUAAAGCCCUUUUGUUGGGAAAGAAAUCCAGCUGGCUAAUACCCGGUUGGGAUGACGGUACCCAAAGAAUAAGCACCGGCUAACUUCGUGCCAGCCGCCGCAGUAA
rnacentral:rRNA from 1 species